CUCGUUACCCUCUCCGUGAUCGCUAUUACGUAUUGGCUCCUAUACAGCUGGUGGUUGAGUAAAGGAUAGUAUCAUUUCUUUACAUUUAAUAGGGUUGAGUUGAAAGAGAUUGUUUCUAGACUAGGUAGAAAUAUGAUCAAUAUCAGUUUGUAGAGCACUUUGUUCUGAUUUAUUGACGAUUUCGGAAGCCGUGAUGUCACCGGCAAAUUUCCACAUUAAGGAAGAGUCUUCAGGUAAGGUAAGAUCAUUUAUCAUGGCCAAAAACAGCCAGGGGCCAAGUCACGUACCAUGGGGGACACCAGCUGGAACCUCUAACCAGUCGGAGAAACACUUAUCGUUUAAUUUCACCCUCUGCCAUCUAUUACGUAAAAAAUCAGUGAUCCUGACCAGUUCACUACACAUGGUUUGAACUAUAUAUAGUUUAGCAAUCAAAAGGGUAUGAUCGACCAAGUCAAAUGCUUUCCUGUAAUCAAGAAAGACAGUCAUUAUAGAUGCGCCAGUGACAUCUGUUGC